rnacentral:rRNA from 1 species
GACGAACGCUGGCGGCGUGCUUAACACAUGCAAGUCGAACGAUGAUGCCCAGCUUGCUGGGCGGAUUAGUGGCGAACGGGUGAGUAAUACGUGAGUAACCUGCCCUUGACUCUGGGAUAAGCCUGGGAAACUGGGUCUAAUACUGGAUACUACCGUCCACCGCAUGGUGGGUGGUGGAAAGGGUUUUACUGGUUUUGGAUGGGCUCACGGCCUAUCAGCUUGUUGGUGGGGUAAUGGCUCACCAAGGCGACGACGGGUAGCCGGCCUGAGAGGGUGACCGGCCACACUGGGACUGAGACACGGCCCAGACUCCUACGGGAGGCAGCAGUGGGGAAUAUUGCACAAUGGGCGGAAGCCUGAUGCAGCGACGCCGCGUGAGGGAUGACGGCCUUCGGGUUGUAAACCUCUUUCAGUAGGGAAGAAGCGAGAGUGACGGUACCUGCAGAAGAAGCGCCGGCUAACUACGUGCCAGCAGCCGCGGUAAUACGUAGGGCGCAAGCGUUGUCCGGAAUUAUUGGGCGUAAAGAGCUCGUAGGCGGUUUGUCGCGUCUGCUGUGAAAGCCCGGGGCUCAACCCCGGGUCUGCAGUGGGUACGGGCAGACUAGAGUGCAGUAGGGGAGACUGGAAUUCCUGGUGUAGCGGUGAAAUGCGCAGAUAUCAGGAGGAACACCGAUGGCGAAGGCAGGUCUCUGGGCUGUUACUGACGCUGAGGAGCGAAAGCAUGGGGAGCGAACAGGAUUAGAUACCCUGGUAGUCCAUGCCGUAAACGUUGGGCACUAGGUGUGGGGACAUUCCACGUUUUCCGCGCCGUAGCUAACGCAUUAGUGCCCCGCCUGGGGAGUACGGCCGCAGGCUAAAACUCAAGGAAUUGACGGGGCCCGCACAAGCGGCGGAGCAUGCGGAUUAAUUCGAUGCAACGCGAAGAACCUUACCAAGGCUUGACAUUCACCGGACCGCCCCAGAGAUGGGGUUUCCCUUCGGGGCUGGUGGACAGGUGGUGCAUGGUUGUCGUCAGCUCGUGUCGUGAGAUGUUGGGUUAAGUCCCGCAACGAGCGCAACCCUCGUUCUAUGUUGCCAGCACGUGAUGGUGGGGACUCAUAGGAGACUGCCGGGGUCAACUCGGAGGAAGGUGGGGAUGACGUCAAAUCAUCAUGCCCCUUAUGUCUUGGGCUUCACGCAUGCUACAAUGGCCGGUACAAAGGGUUGCGAUACUGUGAGGUGGAGCUAAUCCCAAAAAGCCGGUCUCAGUUCGGAUUGAGGUCUGCAACUCGACCUCAUGAAGUCGGAGUCGCUAGUAAUCGCAGAUCAGCAACGCUGCGGUGAAUACGUUCCCGGGCCUUGUACACACCGCCCGUCAAGUCACGAAAGUUGGUAACACCCGAAGCCGGUGGCCUAACCCCUUGUGGGAGGGAGCCGUCGAAGGUGGGACUGGCGAUUGGGACU